UUUGAUGCAAACGCCAUUUCAUUUGUUGCCAUUUGUUCUUUUAUUUUCUCACUCGUACUACAUUGCACUGCACGACAAUUUGUACUACAUCUUACAUGUACCUGUACUAAAUUCCAGUACUCCACAACCUUGCCUAUCUGAUUCAGAAAUAUAUUAAAUAUAUAUACGUGUGUGUAUAUGGAACAUCAGAUAUGGAUCAUUGCAGCAGAAAUCUGGCAGUUUUACAGGAGAAUCACACAGGCGCUCCUCUACUUCAACUUCAAGAAUUGGAGGCGAUCCAAUCCAUUCUUAUGGAGUGAGUUCAUCUUUACUCUUCGAUCUACAUGAAUCUGCAUGAGUUUAUGGCAUCCAUAAUUGGCACCAAAUUCAUCACCAGAGUGCUACCUUUCUCACCUUCAGCUUCGAAGUCCUCCAACAAGUCCCUUUGUCCUUGACCUCAUGCUACUACUUCGAUCUCGUUUCUUUUGUUAGUUAUAUGCAGGCUAUGCAUAAACAAAGCCGGGCCGGCCAUUUUUCAUACCUUGGCACCAAAGUCACCACCCGACUGUUAUUGUAUUCAAUUCAUCCUCCAACAAGUCCGUGAUCUCUAUGCGCAAUCUCUUAAUUUAUGAUAAAAUUAACAAAGAAAUGCUAUGAAAAGAAAGUAGUUUGCGGAUAGAGAUAACGGACUUGUUGUACGAUGAGCUGAAGAUGAUAACAGUCUGGUGGUUACUUUGGUGCCAAGGCAUACAAGAUGGUCACCUUAUUUUACUUUUUUUUUUUUAGGACUAGAAAUCAAAGAUCUUAUGUAACAUAUGGAAUUGAUUAAUUGAGGAUGAAGCUUGACAAAUGAACUAAAAAUGCAAAUAUUUGAUUUAUCUA